rnacentral:rRNA from 1 species
CACCUGACCCCCUCCCGUACUCAGUAGUGAAACGAUGUAUCGCCGAUGGUAGUGUGGGGUUUCCCCAUGUGAGAGUAGGUCAUCGUCAAGA